rnacentral:rRNA from 1 species
AACGAACGCUGGCGGCAUGCCUAACACAUGCAAGUCGAACGAGACCUUCGGGUCUAGUGGCGCACGGGUGCGUAACGCGUGGGAACCUGCCCUUAGGUUCGGAAUAACUCCCCGAAAGGGGUGCUAAUACCGGAUAAUGUCUUCGGACCAAAGAUUUAUCGCCUUUGGAUGGGCCCGCGUUGGAUUAGCUAGUUGGUAGGGUAAAAGCCUGCCAAGGCGACGAUCCAUAGCUGGUCUGAGAGGAUGAUCAGCCACACUGGGACUGAGACACGGCCCAGACUGCUACGGGAGGCAGCAGUGGGGAAUAUUGGACGAUGGGCGAAAGCCUGAUCCAGCAAUGCCGCGUGUGUGAUGAAGGCCUUAGGGUUGUAAAGCUCUUUUACCCGGGAUGAUAAUGACAGUACCGGGAGAAUAAGCUCCGGCUAACUCCGUG